rnacentral:tRNA from 1 species
UGGCCUAUGGUGUAAUUGGUAACACAGCAGAUUCUGGCUCUGCCAUUCUAGGUUCGAGUCCUGGUAGGCCAA